AUGGCCAUUCUAAUUUCAUUUACUUUGGUUCAUUUUUUAACUGCUCCCCCCAACAAGAGGAAAUACUUGUUUGUUGUAAAUCGCUGGUUGGGUUUACCAAUCAAGAAAGACAUGGGACUCUUUUUUCUUUGUCGUUGCUUGGCUGUAAACCAAGUGCUUUUCGAUCUUAGCCGAUCUCAGGUUGACCGUCUCUCCGGCCCCCUUUCGGUGCACUUAUUGGAGAGGUCUUUGGGCCUGCCGCUUUCUCAAUCGAAAAUGGAAACCUUUCAAGAUUAG